rnacentral:rRNA from 1 species
CCUACGGGCGGCACCAGUGGGGAAUAUUGCACAAUGGGCGCAAGCCUGAUGCAGCGACGCCGCGUGAGGGAAGAAGGCCUUCGGGUUGUAAACCUCUUUCGGCAGGGACGAAGCGCAAGUGACGGUACCUGCAGAAGAAGCGCCGGCCAACUACGUGCCAGCAGCCGCGGUAAGACGUAGGGCGCAAGCGUUGUCCGGAUUUAUUGGGCGUAAAGAGCUAGUAGGCGGCUUGUCGCGUCGACUGUGAAAACCCGCGGCUCAACCGCGGGACUGCAGUCGAUACGGGCAGGCUAGAGUUCGGUAGGGGAGACUGGAAUUCCUGGUGUAGCGGUGAAAUGCGCAGAUAUCAGGAGGAACACCGGUGGCGAAGGCGGGUCUCUGGGCUGAAACUGACGCUGAGGAGCGAAAGCGUGGGGAGCGAACAGGAUUAGAUACCCUCGUAGUC